rnacentral:rRNA from 1 species
UACGUAGGGUGCGAGCGUUGUCCGGAAUUAUUGGGCGUAAAGAGCUCGUAGGCGGUGUGUCACGUCGGCCGUGAAACCUUGCAGCUUAACUGUGGGCGUGCGGUCGAUACGGGCAUCACUGGAGUUCGGCAGGGGAGACUGGAAUUCCUGGUGUAGCGGUGAAAUGCGCAGAUAUCAGGAGGAACACCGGUGGCGAAGGCGGGUCUCUGGGCCGAUACUGACGCUGAGGAGCGAAAGCGUGGGGAGCAAACAGG